AAACAUAUACUCACAUAAUUAAUAUUAAUACAUAAUAAUUAUUCAUACAAGACUUAAAUACAAACCUACCCCUCUGUAAAAAUACAACACUUUACAACAUCAAGGGCGAGGGAAAUAAACCCAAAAGCAACUAGCCAAACAAGCCUUCUAUUCGUCCGUAGCUUUUCAAUUAGCCAUCCUGUCUGUACCUCUGAAAAUGUUUUUUUAAAAACUUUGGGGUGAGAACAAAGCCACACGUUCUCAGUAGGGAACGUGAAUGCCACAAUAAACAGAGUAAAUACAAAUAGCUAGUUCAUAUCACAAAAACAACAGUUCAAUCACAAAUGAACAAUAAAGCAAACGCAAUCAAAUGUAAAUGCACAAACAAGAUGAUGCAUGCCUGUUCCUAGCGCAGGCCAUGAGCUCAUGCGUCGGUUGUCUACCCGCAACCCGACGUUACUCGGAGUGAACCCCGAAUAUGGUCCCUUUACUGUGUCAAUUAGACACCUUGGCAUCACGGUUACCCGUGUCAAUUAGGCCUCAUUAUAAUAACAGUUCAAUGUGUAUCACAGUAAGGAACAAUGCUAUCAAUUAGGCGAACAUUCCCGCAUUAGCAAUCUCAAGCUAUCAGUUAGGCGGGCCCUUUCGCAUUAGCAGUUUGGCACAAAAGCCCAUUCAAUAUAAUUCUCAACUUUUAUUUCAUUCCUUGUUCCUCAUUCUUUUUCUUUUCCUUUAAGUAUCCUUUCCAUCAUUUAUUUCUUACUUUCUUUCCUUUCCAUUAUGCCUCCGCAUCGUCUUACAACUAAACACACCUCCGCAUCACCAAGUAGCUAAAAGUACCUCCACAUCACCAUGAAACUAGGCGUACCUCCGCAUCACCAUUUAACUUUAAACGUUUCCUAGGGAUAACUUACACACCUUUGUUUAACUAAGUUCAUACAUUCUGCUAAAUUUGGACAUAUCCUUUAGGUCUAAGCCAAGUUUCACCACGUUUAGAUUAGAAUUGAAUUAGAUAGCCAACUUAAUAAAAUAUGUUGCUGCACUAAAGGGAAUUUAGAAAAAAAUACAGCAAGUAGUUCUGUUUUUAAUAAAUCUGUAAUAAAUUCAAUUCUAAUCCAUUACUUCUAAAUUUUGGUGAGGAUAUACUUAACACUCAUAAGUUUUAGGACAAAUAAAUUUCAGAUCCAUAGCAUCUCGUUUGGUUAAUUAAAAGUCAGUUGGAAGUGCUGCCCUGUUUCUUUAAAUUAGUUCUGAAUUUCCUGCAAACAGUCCAACUUCCAUGAGACAUAACUAACUCUACAAAAUAGAAAUGGAUGUGAAAUUUAUACUCACUUAAAAUAGACUGAUAUAUCUUUAAAAUCCUUUUAGAAGCAACUCAAAAUUCCAAAUAAAUCAAAAGUUAUAGCGUCUGGAAGUUGGUACUGCAGAACCAGAAAACCAGAAAAUUCUGCAGCAACCACUAAACUUCAAAAAUUCAUAUCUUCCAAACCACUUGGCCAAAUUCCCUGAAAUUUUUAUGGAGUAAUCUUGACUUCUUGAAUUUUGACAGAAAAAUAAUUUGGAUAAAGAAUUAUUUCUAGAUUGCUCCCAGUUUUUAUUUUAAGCUGCUGCCAAUUAUGCAGAAAAUUCUGCAUUAAGUAAUUUUAACAACCCUUCAUACCAUAUUUUAUAUUCAAGCCUAAAAUUCCUCUAAAACCACAAUUCUAACUUUCUUUAAACUAACAAAAUUUGCCCAAGAAUGCUUAAUUCAAUAUAUCACCACUUCACAUUAUAGGUGCAACGUAAUCAUAUUAUCACAGCAUCCAUUCUUUAGCAUCUCAUCUAUCACAACAUAUUUCAAGUUAUGAUUCAUCAAAUAAAUUUCCAGUAGCCAUCUCAAUAUUCCAUACUCAAAACCAUCAUCAACAAGUACUAACAUCAUGUAUCACUUCAAAACACACAACAUCAUCUAUAAUUACUACAUGAAAUCAUUAAACCAAUCACCAAUCACAGCUAUGAUUCAACUCAAUUCCAACAAUUAUUCACACAAAGAAGCCAUAAACUAUUUGCAAUUACUCAUUUAAUGUUAUUGGCAUUCAUACUUUAAAACCUUUAUUUUUAAAACAAACCCCCUACCUUGAUUUGUCGAACCCGUAGGAACUAACCGCGAUAAUCCCCUUUCUUUAUCCCUUAAUUUUCAACAGCGGCAGCAACCCUCAAUGCAGCCAGAGCAGCGGCAGUAGCCUCAACUCCUUCAAGGCAGCAACAGCGACAACCGCAC
rnacentral:lncRNA from 1 species